rnacentral:rRNA from 1 species
GAUAAACGCUGGCGGCGUGCCUAAUGCAUGCAAGUCGAACGGGUCGCAGCUUCGGCUGUGGUCAGUGGCGGACGGGUGAGGAACACGUACGCAACCUGCCCUCUGGGUGGGGAAUAACCCUUCGAAAGAGGGGCUAAUGCCGCAUCCGCUCACCUGGGUAAGGCUGGGUGAGGAAAGCCCGUGAGGGCGCUGGAGGAGGGGCGUGCGGCCGAUUAGCUAGUUGGUGGGGUAACGGCCUCCCAAGGCGGUGAUCGGUAGCUGGUCUGAGAGGAUGAUCAGCCACACUGGGACUGAGAGACGGCCCAGACUCCUACGGGAGGCAGC